rnacentral:ncRNA from 1 species
GACCCGAAAGAUGGUGAUCUAUGCCUGAGUGGGGUAAAGCCAAAUGAAACUCUAGUGGAGGCCCACAGUGAUACUAACGUGCAAAUCACUCGUCUGACUUGCAUAUAGCGGCGAAAGACUAAUCGAACCAUCUAGUAGCUGG